GUUGGCAUCUCAGCACAGGCAGGCAAUAUUUGCUUGGUAGAGCAAGGCUGGUUUCUACUCUCCACAGCCUGAUGUCAUAGGAUGGUUUUACUUGGGGCUGAUGGACGAAAGAGAAAUCGGAGGAGGGAGGACGUGAAGAAGAACACGCACGAUUCACACAAGAACACAUAGAUUUACCCAGGUUCGGAGCCCUUUUGUCGAGUCUGGAGGCCCACCAAGCAUGGAAGGCUUCGGGGACAACCAAGCCCAGCCAAGGAACUCGCUGAGUUACCUCCGCGCUGUUGCUCGCACCAUCGCUCCCGCACAGGGUAGUACCCAGGCCCAUCUCGGGUCGAACAACCGUCUCAGGCGUUCCAGCUUCGUCCCAUGGUCCCUCGACGUUUCCAGAACCAGGCAGGCCUUUCCAACCGGGAGCUUCCAGCCCAACAACAUCCUCGCAGCUCCGCCCUCCACAGCCGGCGCGGGGGGAAGUACACAGAACCCUCCUGUCGGGUCUGUCUGCGUCUGCCCGUCAUGCCAGUAUGGUCGGCUCCUCCCCGGACUGCCGGUGGCUCCGGCCUGGAACGGUGUGUUUCCGGCCCCGCACUUCCAGCCCAACGGCACCAUCCUCGGGCCCCUGCACCACCGGGUUGGUUCCGCUGCCUCUGGAACGAUCGGCAGUUCGUUUGGAGCCACAGCAGCCAUGGCCCGAGGCACCGGAGUACGGCAGCAGCGGCAUGGUGAGAUCAGAAACAGCACGCCGAGCGGCGGAUCAGCCUGACCUCGGCCCGGAUAGCUCAACGGGCGGCCCGGUGAGCGCAGGGGCCGGGCUCGAGCUUCUGGCGGACACCGCCGUUGCACAGCCGCGCGCAGAGCCGACGCAGGUUGCACUUGGCACUGGCACUCGCACUGGCCAGUGUGCGGCUGGCGGCGGCCGCGGAAGAGCGGCGGGGAAUCGGAGGACGGAGGCGGCGCGGAACGUGGACAGGACGCGGCGCCUGGAGAGGCGUGCCAGGGCGAAGCUUAAUCAAGCUAGAGCUCGCGCCGACAUUCUGGAAGGUGGUCGCAACGACUAGGAGCCAUCUGGUCCUGGCUUCUGAAUUGCAAAGGAGAUGGUUCGUUUUAUGCCGGUCACCUGCAUGUGUUUUAUUAGCAUCAAGAUUUUUGGAGUUGCUAGGCUUCGCUUAAUCUAUGUUGUACUUGGACUUGUAUCUUUCUUUCAUGCCAAUGUGCCAAUUAUGUGUGACGACUUUUAAAGUCGUGUUGUUGUUUUAUUACGUGUGAUGACUCUUAAAGUCGUGUUCCUUUUGUUAUGAUAUAUGAAUUCAAUAAAGUCGAUCAAUUUUAUUUCAA